rnacentral:rRNA from 1 species
CCUACGGGGUGCAGCAGUGAGGAAUAUUGGUCAAUGGGCUUACGCCUGAACCAGCCAAGUCGCGUGAGGGAAGACUGCCCUAUGGGUUGUAAACCUCUUUUGUCAGGGAGCAAUUGGCGCUACGUGUAGCGUUAUCGAGAGUACCUGAAGAAAAAGCAUCGGCUAACUCCGUGCCAGCAGCCGCGGUAAUACGGAGGAUGCGAGCGUUAUCCGGAUUUAUUGGGUUUAAAGGGUGCGUAGGCGGAAUGCCAAGUCAGCGGUAAAAUCGCGGGGCUCAACCUCGCUCCGCCGUUGAAACUGGCGGUCUUGAGUGGGCGAGAAGUAUGCGGAAUGCGUGGUGUAGCGGUGAAAUGCAUAGAUAUCACGCAGAACUCCGAUUGCGAAGGCAGCAUACCGGCGCCCAACUGACGCUGAAGCACGAAAGCGUGGGUAUCGAACAGGAUUAGAUACCCUUGUAGUC